GGGAAGGUGGCUCAGUGGUAGAGCGCUUGCCUUGCAUACUUGAGGCCCUGGGUUCGAUUCCUCAGCCCCA
rfam:Dipodomys ordii contig_60044, whole genome shotgun sequence.